UACAGAGGUCCCAAGCGUUGUUCGGAUUUACUGGGCGUAAAGGGUGCGUAGGUGGCGAGGUAAGUUCGAUGUGAAAUCUCCGAGCUCAACUCGGAAAUGGCAUUGAAUACUAUCCCGCUUGAGGGUCGGAGGGGAGACUGGAAUUCUCGGUGUAGCAGUGAAAUGCGUAGAUAUCGAGAGGAACACCAGUGGCGAAGGCGAGUCUCUGGACGACUCCUGACACUGAGACGCGAAAGCGUGGGGAGCGAACAGG
rnacentral:rRNA from 1 species